rnacentral:misc_RNA from 1 species
AAUCUUCCAGCCAAAUUUCAUUUUAGGCCAAACUUGUUUAUAAUCUGAAUGACCUUUGUUUCCAUGAUGAGGCUGGACAGCAUUUUGAGUCGCAUUGUGAGUUGGAGUCUUAUUGUGAGUUGAAUCUUCUUGGUUCAAUCCUGAUUCUGCUGCAACCACCAGUGAAGCUAUAACAACUAAACCAACCAAAAUGUUCCCUCUCAAUCUCAAACCACAAUGCUUUGAUUUUGAUCCACUCCUACCCAUCAUAUCCUUGUUUUUUUCCGGCACAAAAUUGUAAAAUUUUCUCAAACUUUAACUUAAACUCAAUGGUAAAAAACCAAGAGGAAAAACACUAAAAACUCUUUAACUUGAAAGAAAGAAAAAUUACUCUUAAAAGCUGCAGCUCAGAAUCAGUCUGAG